rnacentral:lncRNA from 1 species
AAUCUCUUUCUGCUCAAAACAGCACAGUAGACCAAAUUUUGCUAAUAUGUCAUGUACUAAAACAUAAUUUUUGAGUUCUAAACAACUAAUUUUAGACUAGAUUCUGAAUCUAUUAAUUUAUGGAUUUGGUAUGUACAGGAACCAUUCCAGUGCCUUUCAAUUUGUCCCUGAAUUUUUUCUCUUUAAACUUCCAGGCAGUAAUUUAUCUUAAGGCCCUAAAAUUGAAUAAAGCUAAAUAUUUGGAGCUCAUAAAUUAUCUACACUAUAUGACCACUAAAAAUUGAGAUGUGACUUACAUAUAUCGUACCCCUCAGAAUACCUAGCCCCAUGAAAAGACUUCUUAAUACCAAUUAAGGGACUAGUUCAUCCAAGAAUCAAAUAUGUCAGUAAUAUUUGACACAAAUAUUACUUAAAAACACAAAUCUGUUAUUUUUCUUAUAUCAAUAAAAAUUUCCUUCUGUCUUUCAGAUUUUUCUGAUAAUGUUUUUCAAUGUCUUGACUGUCUUGAACAAUUAUAUAUCUGUUAGUUUUUUGCUUCAUACUAAUGACAAUUCCCUAGUUCAACAGUAAUGAGAACUAAGGCAUUAAACUUAAAAGGCUCUAAACAGGUUUAAAUGUGGUAAAAUAUUAUUGUAAUAGAAUUGUAAUGUAUUUCUUUUCUAC